rnacentral:sRNA from 1 species
AGCUGGAAGUUAUUUCACCUUAUCCACGUGGAUUUUAACACUUAGCAGACUUUAUUUAGUGGGAUGCUUUAGAUAAAUAUGAAUUAAUAUUCAUCGGUUGCAGUUCAAGCGAUUGCCGAUACUCCAAGAUCGUGCCCAGACGUCACAUACAUCAUCCAUCACAUGGUGCUUUCUUGAGAAUUGGGGUAAAUAGUCGGGCUGGGCUGCAGGGGGCGUGGCCGCUGUUAUACGACCCUAUCCCGGAGUGUGUACAGCUUAACACCGUGGCCCACCGUAAUUAACCACCCAAAUAUUUGCCCAUGUCAGCGAUAAGAAUUACGACUCUGACUGGGAUCUUUUGCACGACUGAUACGGCGGAUCAUUCGCAUCGCAGCUUCUCGGGACUCGCACGACUGGGCGCUGAUCUUUGCGUUUAUCUUCCGGCUAUAUUUAGAUCGCCUGGCUUGGUCGGCUGUCUCAUCGCAGUUUUCAGGAGGAUUCAGGCCACUCCGUAUCCGGUUUACGAUGGCUAAACUGAGGUCUUUUACAACAAAAUUUAACACAGAGAUGUAAUCUUCUAUAAAUAAACUCACACUCGGCACCAUUAAACACAA